UGGGGAAUAUUGCGCAAUGGGCGAAAGCCUGACGCAGCAACACCGCGUGAGGGAUGACGGCCUUCGGGUUGUAAACCUCUUUCAGCUCCGACGAAGCGAAAGUGACGGUAGGAGCAGAAGAAGCACCGGCUAACUACGUGCCAGCAGCCGCGGUAAUACGUAGGGUGCAAGCGUUGUCCGGAAUUAUUGGGCGUAAAGAGCUCGUAGGCGGUCCGUUGCGUCUGCCGUGAAAACCCGGAGCUCAACUCCGGGCCUGCGGUGGAUACGGGCGGACUAGAGUCCGGUAGGGGAGACUGGAAUUCCUGGUGUAGCGGUGGAAUGCGCAGAUAUCAGGAGGAACACCGGUGGCGAAGGCGGGUCUCUGGGCCGGAACUGACGCUGAGGAGCGAAAGCGUGGGGGAGCGAACAGGAUUAGAUACCCCUGGGUAGUCCACGCCGUAAAACGGUGGGCGCUAGGUGUGGGGAUCGUUUCCACGAUCUCCGUGCCGUAGGCUAAACGCAUUAAGCGCCCCGCCUGGGGAGUACGGCCGC
rnacentral:rRNA from 1 species